CUGUGAGGGAAAAGUAGGUGUAAGUGGGGUUAAGGUUGUUCGGGCAACCAGGAACCAUUAGCGAGUUACGUUGCGCGCGCACACACCCCCCCCUCUCUGGCGGGCUGGGGCAAAACUAGUUCCUGGUGUCCGAUUUGUUAAAGUUUCUACUCCUGGUAAUAUUGACCUUACCUGGUGUGGAUUGAAGUUUGGAGAGUCACUUCACCUCCACUCUUCUUCUAAUCAGGUAGGGUGAUCUACCAGGAGUAUUACUGUUUGUUCUUUUCUAGUGUCUGCUGGUUACCAGUAAUGAUUUUGGCAUUUAUCAUUCUUUUUCUUUCUUAAAUGUUAUAUUAUCAUGACUAUGGGUAACCAGUUUUAUUUUCUCUUAUUUACCAGCUCUGUUCCUGGCGUGGUCUUCCAGGAUAGACGCCAGAUAAAGGGGCAAGACGUAUGUUAAUAAUACUUAUUAACAUUAUUCUACAACUACCGGCCCUUACCUAUUCUACUUGUGCUCCAUCCAAGUGGUAGGAGAUUCCAGAACAUCGGAUUACCAUCUGCCCAGGAUAACCUACAUAAAUAACAUCAGAGGAACUAUCCAGGGCCAUACCUACUCCUACCCAACUACAAGAACUGAAGGCCAUUUUUUUUAUUAUAUUUAAAUUUUAAGUAAAAUUCUCAAAAAUCAUUUUUCUUGUUUUUCCUAAAUCAUUUCUUUAUUUAUUUAUUUUUCCAUUAGUUUCUUUUGUUCAGUUGGAAGGCGUUCCACUGACAAUGGCGACCUUGCCAGGAUCCGACUCUUGAAGCAACAUCGUCCUGAUGGUUCAACUGGUUGUGAGUAUAACAUUUAAGAUAGAAAAGGCUCUGUUCCUGGCGUGGUCUUCCAGGAUAGACGCCAGAUAAAGGGGCAAGACGUGUGUUAAUAAUACUUAUUAACAUUAUUCUACAACUACCGGCCCUUACCUAUUCUACUUGUGCUCCAUCCAAGUGGUAGGAGAUUCCAGAACAUCGGAUUACCAUCUGCCCAGGAUAACCUACAUAAAUAACAUCAGAGGAACUAUCCAGGGCCAUACCUACUCCUACCCAACUACAAGAACUGAAGGCCAUUUUUUUUUAUUA